AACCGCCGCAUACCGAACGGUACGUACGGUGGUGUAGGAGGUAGAUAAAUUGAUUAUCUACCUCCU
rnacentral:misc_RNA from 1 species